rnacentral:snoRNA from 1 species
UCAACGUGGAUACCCCGGGAGGUCACUCUCCCCGGGCUCCGUCCAGGUGGCAUAGGGGAGCAUAGGGCUCUGCCCUGUGAUGUACAGUCCCUUUCCACGACGUUGGAGAAGAAGCUGGGCCUUGUGUCUGCGCCUGGAUAUUCCUACAACUUCUCAGAGUCCUUUGGGCAGUGACUGAGGAGAUAAACCAUGCAGGAAACAAUG